rnacentral:rRNA from 1 species
AGCGAACGCUGGCGGCAGGCCUAACACAUGCAAGUCGAACGAAGUCUUCGGACUUAGUGGCGGACGGGUGAGUAACACGUGGGAACGUGCCUUUAGGUUCGGAAUAACUCAGGGAAACUUGUGCUAAUACCGAAUGUGCCCUUCGGGGGAAAGAUUUAUCGCCUUUAGAGCGGCCCGCGUCUGAUUAGCUAGUUGGUGAGGUAAAGGCUCACCAAGGCGACGAUCAGUAGCUGGUCUGAGAGGAUGAUCAGCCACAUUGGGACUGAGACGCGGCGCAAACUCCUACGGGAGGCAGCAGUGGGGAAUCUUGCGCAAUGGGCGAAAGCCUGACGCAGCCAUGCCGCGUGAAUGAUGGAGGUCUUAGGAUUGUAAAAUUCUUUCACCGGGGACGAUAAUGACGGUACCCGGAGAAGAAGCCCCGGCUAACUUCGUGCCAGCCGCCGCAGUAAAAC